UUAUUUCGAUGAGGAUAAAAAGCAGACGGGCGGUCUGAACUGAUGCCAUGUUGAUUGUCUGUAUAA
rnacentral:snRNA from 1 species